UUGUGGAGAGUAUGAUACCGGCUCAGGACGAACGCUGGCGGCGUGGAUUAGGCAUGCAAGCCGAACGAGAAGUCGAGCUUCGGCUCGAUGGAAAGUGGCGAAAGGGUGAGUAACGCGUGGGUAAUUUGCCUCUGAGAUGGGGAUAACAACUCGAAAGGGUUGCUAAUACCAAAUACGAUUCGGUUGACUUCGGUCGGCCGAAUGAAAGGUGGCUUCGGCUGCCGCUCGGAGAUAAGCCCGCGUCCUAUUAGCUAGUUGGUGAGGUAACGGCUCACCAAGGCGACGAUGGGUAGCUGGUCUGAGAGGAUGGUCAGCCACAUUGGGACUGAGACACUGCCCAAACUCCUACGGGAGGCUGCAGUCGAGAAUAUUUCGCAAUGGGGGAAACCCUGACGAUGCGACGCCGCGUGGGGGAUGAAGGCCUUCGGGUUGUAAACCUCUGUGUUAUGGGAUGAAUUGGUCGUUGCCGAUAAAGCAACGUUUUUGACGUUACCAUAGUAGAAAGCCCCAGCUAACUACGUGCCAGCAGCCGCGGUAAUACGUAGGGCGCAAGCGUUGUCCGGAAUCACUGGGCGUAAAGCGCGCGGAGGCGGUGGAGUAAG
rnacentral:rRNA from 1 species